rnacentral:lncRNA from 1 species
AGUGGAUCAGAAAAAGGACAGGACCACAUGGACUCAGGAAGAUAAAAAAGAAACAGGAAUUUCUC